rnacentral:rRNA from 1 species
UACGUAGGGGGCAAGCGUUGUCCGGUAUCAUUGGGCGUAAAGAGCGUGUAGGCGGCCCGAUAAGUCCGCUGUGAAAGUCCAGGGCUCAACCCUGGGAUGCCGGUGGAUACUGUCGGGCUCGAGUCCGGAAGAGGAGUGUGGAAUUCCUGGUGUAGCGGUGAAAUGCGCAGAUAUCAGGAGGAACACCAAUGGCGAAGGCAGCACUCUGGGACGUGACUGACGCUGAGACGCGAAAGCGUGGGGAGCAAACAGG